UACAAUGGAGAGUUUGAUCCUGGCUCAGGAUGAACGCUAGCGGCAGGCUUAACACAUGCAAGUCGAACGGUAACAGAAAAAGCUUGCUUUUUGCUGACG
rnacentral:rRNA from 1 species